GACAUUUUAAGAAGAGGAGGAAUGUUUAAAUUAAUGCCCCUAAAUAGGAAAAAAGUGUUCGCGCAUUGCUACAGACAAUGAUUGAUAGUUCAAUGUCAUUAUUUGAUGAACAGGUUGAAAUAACAUUGGAACCACAAGUGUGGGAUACAAUUUGUCCAGAAGAGGAGGAGGAGACACAGUUAGACGGACCAACUCCACCUGAAUUAAAU